rnacentral:lncRNA from 1 species
UCCAAGGGCGGCCCUUUCAAGCUGCCUGGAACUUUCUGCCAUCACACUGAGGCCACUGUUUGACCCAGUCCCGGGCCAGGGAGGCAGGAGCCGAUCACGUCCCAGGGCAGUGCUUCUCCCUGGCACUGAGUCCGUGGAAAGAGGCUGGGAAGGUUCUUUCCACACUUGAGGGCUGGCGUUGGGAAAAUAGGGUAGUGCUCUCCGCCCCAGUGAACAGCAAGAGCUCACUUCCCCCAGCAGACUUCUGCUCCACUGGCCUACUUUCAGCAUGGAGUGGAAGGAAGCCAGCUCCAGGAGGGCAGAGGCUUCCUCUCCACCCCUCUCUUCCACAACCUUCAACAGGCGCCUUGUUCUCCCCGGCCAGGGAACUGCGGAUGGUGACCAUCGUUUCCCAGCCCAGCAAGGGGAAAUGAGGGGAGGAAAUAAACGCAGGGUUUUUAUUGCCAAAUAUUUCUUUCCCUGGGAGGACAACGCAUUCAAACCGCUGAGUGGAGAUUGGAGUUAGUCCAGCCAUAAACCAUCUUAAUGAACACUAAUAGAGAACCGCAAUUAUUGUUGACUUCAAAAUGCAAACAAGAACUUUAGACAGUGAUCCCUAUCAGCCGGUGAGGCCGGGCACAGAUGCCGGGCGCUGUUUUUGCCGUUGCUUAGCAAUGGAAAAUGAACUGUUCCUGUCUGUUACCACUGGAGGUGGAGGUAGGACAAUGAGCUUUAUUGGACAGAAUAGGUAUGAAAUUAGUUUAUUCUUUUUCACUUGGAGAAGGCAAUUGGCAGCCAAGAGAGUCACUCGGAAAAGGGGUAUUUUAGAGGUUGAGGGUGACUUUCCUUCUCAUUACUUCGGUAAAUCCUAACCACCUUGUUUUCCUCUACAGAUAAAGUUUGAACUUUUGCCGGGAGUGUCCCUCCAAAACGAUCAUCAAUCAGACAGAAUAGCUGCAAAUACCAACUCACAGACCAGGUUGGGAAUUAGGUGAUAGGGUCUUGCUAUGUUGCCUCGGCUGGAAUGCAGUGGCUGUUCAUAGACAUUAUCACAGCACACUACAGUCUCAAACUCCUGGACUCAAGCAAUCCUCCUGCCUCAGCCUCCUGAGUAGCUAGGACUACUGGGAUGCACUACUGCUCUUGGCAAAUUAAGGAUUUUGAGAUGGAGAGACUAUCCUGGAUUAUCUGAUGGGCUUAAUCAUUGACAAAGGUUCUUAUAUAAGGAAAAGUCAAUGUGAUAAUGGAAGCAGAUUUGAAGAUGCUGUGCAACUGGCUUUGAAGAUGGAGGACGGGGCCACAAGCCAAGGAUUGUUGGCAGCCUCUAAGCUGGAAGAGUGUGGCAAAACUUGGAAAGAUGGGCAAAUCCAGUGUUGCUGAGACUGAGAAGACAGAAAGCAACUCUGUCCGCAGGCAAAGUAGUCCAGCAGGUCAGUCUCUGGAUGCACCAACCCUGAGGAUGCCAAGCAAAGAAGUUCAGGGUCCAGGAAAGACACACACGGGGACAGCGAGGGAGAAA